rnacentral:rRNA from 1 species
GACUACUAGGGUAUCUAAUCCUGUUUGCUCCCCACGCUUUCGUACCUCAGCGUCAAGAAUGGUCCAGUAAGCCGCCUUCGCCACUGGUGUUCUUCCGAAUAUCUACGAAUUUCACCUCUACACUCGGAAUUCCACUUACCUCUCCCAUCUUCAAGCGAUCCAGUCUCAAAGGCAGUUCCACGAUUGAGUCGUGGGAUUUCACCUCUGACUUAGAAAGCCGCCUACGUACGCUUUACGCCCAGUAAUUCCGAACAACGCUAGCCCCCUCCGUAUUACCGCGGCUGCUGGCACGGAGUUAGCCGGGGCUUAUUCUCCCGGUACAGUCAUUAUCUUCCCGGGUAAAAGAGCUUUACAACCCGAAGGCCUUCUUCACUCACGCGGCAUUGCUGGAUCAGGCUUUCGCCCAUUGUCCAAUAUUCCCCACUGCAGCCGCCCGUAGG